rnacentral:rRNA from 1 species
ACCAAUACUAGCCCANAGAUAAAUCUACACCAAACAANUCACACUCAUUNACCAAACAAAACAUUUACCCCUNAUUAAAGUAUAGGAGAUAGAAAUUUNUCANACCGGAGCUAUAGAGUAANGUACCGCAAGGGAAAGAUGAAAGAAUUAAUUANAUAGUAGAACAAAGCAAAGACUAACCCUUUUACCUUUUGCAUAAUGAGCCAACGAGAAACAACUUGACAAAGAGACCUAAAGCCAAGAACCCCGAAACCAGACGAGCUACUUACGAGCAGCUAGCNAGAGCCAAUCCAUCUAUGUAGCAAAAUAGUGGAAAGACUUGUAAGUAGAGGUGAAAAGCCAACCGAGCCUGGUGAUAGCUGGUUGUCCAGAUAAGAAUCUUAGUUCGACUCUAAAUUUANCUACACGCACCCUUNNAAUCCAAAUGUAAAUUUAAUUGUCAGUCUAAAGAGGGACAGCUCUUUAGANCAUAGGAAACAACCUUAUUUAGUGAGUAAUUUCAUUAAGCCUCCAUAGUUGGCCUAAAAGCAGCCAUCAAUUAAAAUAGCGUUCAAGCUUAACCCUAAUUAANCAAACUUAAUUUGAGUAUUUAUAAAGACCUCCUAAUUNUUUUACUGGACUAAUCUAUUACGCAGAUAUAGAUGCAAUAAUGUUGACAUAAGUAACAAGAAAAANUUUUCUCCCUGCAUAAGCUUAUAUCAGUCCGAAUAAUUCGCUGAUAGUUAACAAACCUAUAUCANNUAAUACACCAAACUCAAUUAUUAUUAUGCACAUUGUUAACCCAACACCGGAAUGCANUACAAGGGAAAGAUUGAAAAAAGUAAAAGGAACUCGGCAAACACUAACCCCGCCUGUUUACCAAAAACAUCACCUCUAGCANUUAAUAGUAUUAGAGGCACUGCCUGCCCAGUGACACACGUUAAACGGCCGCGGUAUCCUGACCGUGCAAAGGUAGCAUAAUCAUUUGUUCCUUAAUUAGGGACUUGCAUGAAUGGCCAAACGAGGGUUUGACUGUCUCUUACUUUUAAUCAGUGAAAUUGACCUUCCCGUGAAGAGGCGGGAAUGAAUAAAUAAGACGAGAAGACCCUGUGGAGCUUAAAUUAANCCAGUCCAAACAUCUUCAACACUAAUNNACCCACGGGAACCAACCAAUUUGUCCUUGGACUAUAUAUUUUGGUUGGGGUGACCUCGGAGUAUAACACAACCUCCGAAUGAUCUUAAUUUAGACCAACUCGUCCAAAUUACCACUCAUAUAUUGACCCAANUCUAUUGAUCAACGGAACAAGUUACCCCAGGGAUAACAGCGCAAUCCUACCCAAGAGUCCCUAUCGACAGNUAGGGUUUACGACCUCGAUGUUGGAUCAGGACACCCAAAUGGUGCAACCGCUAUUAAUGGUUCGUUUGUUCAACGAUUAAAGUCCUACGUGAUCUGAGUUCAGACCGGAGUAAUCCAGGUCGGUUUCUAUCUAUUCNNAAANAUUUCUCCCAGUACGAAAGGACAAGAGAAAUAGGGAUAAUUUUUCACACAUACCCUAGGACUAAUAGAUGAUAUAAUCUCAAUCUAAUUGACCAUUUCNACCUCUCACCCUAGAUCAGGGUUU